GCGGCGUGCUUACACAUGCAAGUCGAACGAGGAACGGAGUGCUUGCACUCUGUAUCCGAGUGGCGAACGGGUGAGUAACACGUGACCAACCUGUCUUCAGGCGAGGGAUAACCUGGGGAAACCCGGACUAAUACCGCAUGAUGUCUCUUUCUCGCAUGAGGUUGAGACCAUAGGGGGCCUCUGCUUGCAAGCUCCCGCCUGAUGAGGGGGUCGCGGCGUAUCAGCUAGUUGGUGAGGUAACGGCUCACCAAGGCGAUGACGCGUAGCGGGUCUGAGAGGACGAUCCGCCACAUUGGGACUGAGAUACGGCCCAGACUCCUACGGGAGGCAGCAGUGGGGAAUAUUGCGCAAUGGCCGCAAGGCUGACGCAGCGACGCCGCGUGUGGGGGGAAGCCUUUCGGGGUGUAAACCACUGUCAGUGGGGAAGAAUUCUGACGGUACCCAAGGAAUAAGCAUCGGCUAACUCCGUGCCAGCAGCCGCGGUAAGACGUAGGGGGCGAGCGUUGUCCGGAAUUACUGGGCGUAAAGGGCGUGUAGGCGGUCUUUAAAGUCAGCUGUGAAAUUCCCCGGCUCAACCGGGGGUCUGCAGUUGAAACUUAAAGGCUUGAGUGCAGGAGAGGAGGGUGGAAUUCCCGGUGUAGCGGUGAAAUGCGCAGAUAUCAGGAGGAACACCAGUGGCGAAGGCGCUCUACUGGGCCACAACUGACGCUGAGGGACGAAAGCUAGGGGAGCGAAAGGGAUUAGAUACCCCUGU
rnacentral:rRNA from 1 species